CGUAGGGCGGAGCGUUAUCCGGAAUUAUUGGGCGUAAAGACGCGCGCAGGCGGGUCAUUUAAGUUCAGGUGUGAAAGGACUGCGGCUCAACCGCAGAGCGGCACCUGAAACUGGGUGACUUGAGUGCAGGAGAGGAGAGCGGAAUUCCCGGUGUAGCGGUGGAAUGCGUAGAGAUCGGGAGGAACACCAGUGGCGAAGGCGGCUCUCUGGCCUGUUUCUGACGCUGAGGCGCGAAAGCGUGGGAGCAAACAGGAUU
rnacentral:rRNA from 1 species